ACCUACUCCUUCCAUGUUAAAAUAUGGAUGAUCACACAUUCCAGAAAAAUAAUCACCAACCACAUAUUCCCCCUCUACUUAUCCAAUCCUUUAUCUCACCAAUCCCUCAAGGUAUCCAUACGUUCCACCCCACACCCUACCCAUUUUAAUCACCUUUUUUUUUUUUUCCUUUGAAAAAAAAGAUCUUGUUUCUUCAAAAAAAAAAAAUGAUGGAAAAAUAGGGUGGAGGAUAGAUGGCAGCACAGGAGCAAUCCGCCGAGAGGCCGCCAGAUUUUGGUCUGCCUGAGGCGGUGUUGUCGGUGAUUCCUUCCGACCCCUUCGAGCAGCUGGACGUGGCGCGAAAGAUAACCUCCAUCGCCCUCGCCUCCCGCCUCUCCAAGCUCGAGUCCGAGGCCUCCCGCCUCCGCCAGCGCCUCGCCGAGAAGGAUGACAUCGUCGCAGAGCUCCGUGCUAAGGUCGAGACCCUCGACGCCUCCCUUGCCGACGUCUCUGACCGCCUCGCCCGCGCUGACGAGGAAAAGGAAACUCUCCUGAACGAGAAUGCUUCGCUUUCCAAUACCAUCAAGAAGCUCAACCGGGAUGUUUCUAAGUUGGAAAUUUUCAAAAAAACACUCAUGCGGUCACUUCAGGAGGAAGAAGAAAGUCCUCAAGUAGGAGCUCCCAGGGUGGUUCCAGAAAAGAUGACAGACACUGCUAGUUUCUCAACUGGGUCACUUGGUGAAGAUAAGGAUGCAGCCCUGCCCCCAUUGAAAUCAUCUUCUGUACAAAAUCAGUUCUCAGACACUGCAAGUUCCAUUUCAGAGGAUGGUAAUUAUAGUGGAACAGAUGGCUCCAAACAAGGCAAACCAUACAUGUUAUUAACAUCACGGGGUAGCACACCUAGGUUCACUCCACCAGAUUCUCCUCCUAGACGACAUUCUAUUUCAUUUUCAACUACAAGGAACCUGUUUGAUGAAAGGUCAUCCAUAUUUUCUUCCAUGCCAUCAAGCCAUCACAACUCAUUUAGCUCUCCUUUUGACAUGGGAGCGCAAACAGGACGGACCCGAGUUGAUGGAAAAGAGUUCUUUCGCCAAGUCCGGUACAUUCAAAGUGCAUUUUGCAAAGCAUGUUGAUUUUAUCAUUCUUUUAUUAGUGCUUCCUGCACUUUUGGGGCAACAGCAAAAGGAAAAAAAAAAGGGUUGGGUGGGGGGUGGUGGAGGGAAGAAAAAGGAAAAAAGAGGGGAAAAACAGAUGCCGCUUGUCAAAAUAAGAGCCGUCUGUCUUACGAGCAGUUCAGUGCUUUUCUAGCCAAUGUAAAAGAAUUGAAUGCGCAUAAACAGACAAGAGAGGAAACACUUCAAAAGGCUGAUGAGAUUUUUGGUCCAGACAACAGGGAUCUUUACACCAUAUUUGAGGGUCUGAUCACCCGUAAUGUCCAUUGAAUGUAAAACAGGGGCAAAUGAUAUACUUUCUUCCCCUCUAAGAGAUGAUGAGUCUUUUUAAUUCCUGUUUGCUGUUUCUUUUAUAAUUUCCAUAUGUAUAAAAUGGUGAGCUCUAUUUAUUUGUGUUAAUAUUUAAUUGUAAGAUAAUUUAGUUUAUAUUUUUGUGCUAUACUCAGGCACCGUCUGUAAUAAACAGUGUAUAAAAUGGUUGUAAUGGCAUUAAUCUUCAGAGACUGGAAAAA